GANUCGCAUGGACGAAAGUCUGACGGAGCAACGCCGCGUGAGCGAAGAAGGCCUUCGGGUCGUNAAGCUCUGUUGUUAGGGAAGAACAAGUGCCAGAGUAACUGCUGGCACCUUGACGGUACCUAACCAGAAAGCCACGGCUAACUACGUGCCAGCAGCCGCGGUAAUACGUAGGUGGCAAGCGUUGUCCGGAAUUAUUGGGCGUAAAGCGCGCGCAGGUGGUUCCUUAAGUCUGAUGUGAAAGCCCACGGCUCAACCGUGGAGGGUCAUUGGAAACUGGGGGACUUGAGUGCAGAAGAGGAAAGUGGAAUUCCAAGUGUAGCGGUGAAAUGCGUAGAGAUUUGGAGGAACACCAGUGGCGAAGGCGACUUUCUGGUCUGUAACUGACACUGAGGCGCGAAAGCGUGGGGAGCGAACAGGAUUAGAUACCCUGGUAGUCCACGCCGUAAACGAUGAGUGCUAAGUGUUAGAGGGUUUCCGCCCUUUAGUGCUGCAGCUAACGCAUUAAGCACUCCGCCUGGGGAGUACGGCCGCAAGGCUGAAACUCAAAAGAAUUGACGGA
rnacentral:rRNA from 1 species